rnacentral:rRNA from 1 species
AGUAACACGUAAACAACCUGCCUUCAGGAUGGGGACAACAGACGGAAACGACUGCUAAUACCGAAUAAGUUCCAAGAGCCGCAUGGCCCAUGGAAGAAAAAGGUGGCCUCUACCUGUAAGCUAUCGCCUGAAGAGGGGUUUGCGUCUGAUUAGCUGGUUGGAGGGGUAACGGCCCACCAAGGCGACGAUCAGUAGCCGGUCUGAGAGGGUGAACGGCCACACUGGAACUGAGACACGGCCCAGACUCCUACGGGAGGCAGCAUG